rnacentral:ncRNA from 1 species
AUGGAGGAUGCCGAAAAUCCUUAAGAGAGUAGGUA